UGGGGAAUAUUGCACAAUGGGGGAAACCCUGAUGCAGCGACGCCGCGUGAGCGAAGAAGGUUUUCGAAUCGUAAAGCUCUGUCCUAUGAGAAGAUAAUGACGGUAUCAUAGGAGGAAGCCCCGGCUAAAUACGUGCCAGCAGCCGCGGUAAUACGUAUGGGGCGAGCGUUGUCCGGAAUUAUUGGGCGUAAAGGGUACGUAGGCGGUCUAUUAAGUCAGGUGUGAAAGCGUGAGGCUUAACCUCAUUAAGCACUUGAAACUGAUAGACUUGAGUGAAGGAGAGGAAAGUGGAAUUCCUAGUGUAGCGGUGAAAUGCGUAGAUAUUAGGAGGAAUACCAGUGGCGAAGGCGACAUUCUGGACUUUUACUGACGCUCAGGUACGAACGCGUGGGGAGCAAACAGG
rnacentral:rRNA from 1 species